rnacentral:rRNA from 1 species
GAUGAACGCUAGCUACAGGCUUAACACAUGCAAGUCGAGGGGCAGCAUGGAAGAAGCUUGCUUCUUCUGAUGGCGACCGGCGCACGGGUGCGUAACGCGUAUCAAACCUGCCUCAUACUCGGGGAUAGCCUUGCGAAAGUAAGAUUAAUACCCGAUGUUGUUAUGUUUCCGCAUGGUGAUGUAACCAAAGAUUUAUCGGUAUGAGAUGGUGAUGCGUCCGAUUAGGUAGUAGGCGGGGUAACGGCCCACCUAGCCAUCGAUCGGUAGGGGUUCUGAGAGGAAGGUCCCCCACACUGGAACUGAGACACGGUCCAGACUCCUACGGGAGGCAGCAGUGAGGAAUAUUGGUCAAUGGACGCAAGUCUGAACCAGCCAAGUAGCGUGCAGGAUGACGGCCCUCUGGGUUGUAAACUGCUUUUAGUUGGGAAUAAAAAGAGGGACGUGUCCCUUCUUGUAUGUACCUUCAGAAAAAGGACCGGCUAAUUCCGUGCCAGCAGCCGCGGUAAUACGGAAGGUCCAGGCGUUAUCCGGAUUUAUUGGGUUUAAAGGGAGCGUAGGCGGAUUAUUAAGUCAGUGGUGAAAGACGGUGGCUCAACCAUCGUUAGCCAUUGAAACUGGUAGUCUUGAGUGCAGACAGGGAUGCUGGAACUCGUGGUGUAGCGGUGAAAUGCUUAGAUAUCACGAUGAACUCCGAUCGCGAAGGCAGGUGUCCGGGCUGCAACUGACGCUGAGGCUCGAAAGUGUGGGUAUCAAACAGG